AUUCUAAACCUACUAUAACUUUUUAAAUAUUCCUAAUAACAAUAGAAUUGCUAAUUCCUAAUUAUACUAGAAAAUCUGAAUUAAAGAUAUUGGUUUUACAAAGAAAAAAUUAAAUAAAAAUAAUUUCUAAAUAGAGUUUUCCUUGACUGCAUCAACCAUGCAAUUAAAGAACACAGCAAAUAAAGCCAGAAUCAAAGUAAUAACACAACAGCAAUCAAGAAAAUCUUCUAAAUAGAAUUCCUCUCCAGGAACUAAAGUAAGUCUUUAAUGAGUGCAAUUCAAUCACAAUAAUCAUAAGCUAUUAUUUCAAGUAAAAGCAGAGCCAUGUCAACAUAUAUUACAGAGAAAAA
rnacentral:misc_RNA from 1 species